ACGGAGGGUGCGAGCGUUGUCCGGAAUCAUUGGGCGUAAAGGGCGCGUAGGUGGCGGCUUAAGCGUGCGGUGAAAGCUCGGGGCUCAACCCCGAGUCGGCCGUGCGAGCUGAGUCGCUUGAGCACUGUAGAGGCAGGCGGAAUUCCGGGUGUAGCGGUGGAAUGCGUAGAGAUCCGGAAGAACACCGGUGGCGAAGGCGGCCUGCUGGGCAGUGGCUGACACUGAGGCGCGACAGCGUGGGGAGCAAACAGGA
rnacentral:rRNA from 1 species